GGAAGAGAUAGAGGGAGAGAGAGAGGAGGAGAAAUAGACAGACAGACUGUAUGAUUAACAGUGAGAAGAGGUCAGGGGGGAGGGGGGAGGGGGGGCGAGUGUCUUUAUCAUAUUGGUCUGUUGACAGAAAGCAUAGCUGCGUCAUGUGACUCCACUAAUCAGGUCAUAGGGAGCAGCUGUGAGCCACAGACAGAUCCUGCAGCCAUGUGAGUGCUCGUAACCACGACAACGGCGCACCUGUGCUCAUUAACGAGCUGCUGCAAAAGUGCAGACACAGGACAGCGAGUUACACAGAAUCCACACCUCAAACAAAUGGGAACCAGCGAAAAACUAUAACAGCUAUCUAAAAAAUACGCCGUUUGUAUGAGACCCAAGACUCUACCGAACGCGUGGAUGUGCUUUUUAUGUCUGUCCGGUAAUAAAUACGGCUCCUAUGGCCGUUGA
ensembl:lncRNA